UACAGAGGUCUCAAGCGUUGUUCGGAAUCACUGGGCUUAAAGGGUGCGUAGGCGGCGUAGUAAGUCGGGUGUGAAAUCCCCCAGCUUAACUGGGGAAUUGCGCCCGAAACUGUUGCGCUCGAGGGAGACAGAGGUGAGCGGAACUGAUGGUGGAGCGGUGAAAUGCGUUGAUAUCAUCAGGAACACCGGUGGCGAAAGCGGCUCACUGGGUCUCUUCUGACGCUCAGGCACGAAAGCUAGGGGAGCAAACGGG
rnacentral:rRNA from 1 species